rnacentral:lncRNA from 1 species
UGGUAGCUCUAUGGAUGACACUUUAAUUUACAUGUCUGACAUGCACUGAAAGCUCUUGUUCAGGGUCACAGCCUCACCUCCCGUGUCUAGUCGCCUGUGACUACGACUUGUAAAAAGAUUCCCUUUAUUUUUCAGUUUCUCUCAGCAACUUGUGAGCAGCUAGGAUGUGGUAGCACUUAACCCACAGCUUCAACACAGUUAUAUUUAACCACUAAUUCAAUUCAGAAUGCAGGAUAAGUGUAUUUGACUAGAUUUCCAGCUACUCAGGCUAAGAUCAGAGAACUACAAAAGACAGUAGAGAGUUCAAAGACAGCCCAGGCCACACCACAGAUCCAGUUAAAAUCAGAGUUCCAGGGGAACUCUGAAUUAUUGUUUCUUUAUCCUGGCUGCCCAUUAGAAUCACAUCAGGAACUUUAAAAAAUAUAUUUACUAUUGAUUGUUACACCAAUUUUGAUUUCCUGAUCUUUGCCUAAAUAGAAAUUUUGUUUUUUCAUUUCCUAAGGGGCUAAUUGUACACAAAGAACCAAGAAUCAUUGUCUUACCUCAGGUUUACUGGGUGCUGAGUACAAAUGUUGUGCCAGGUAGCGUUUGUGAACCCCUAAAGUCCAUAAAGGAGUCAAUUCCGAUGCAAUCGAAUUAGAGUCUAUUCAAGCACUAGUUUAGGCCACACCACUGUCUCUAACGGAGGAGAACUGGGGGGACAUCCUUAAAUUUUAGUUUCAGGCAAGCAUUUAUAGAGACAAGAAGGGGGUAUCUAGCCUGGUACACAUCUGAUUGGGGGGCCAUUGUGGCCUUUAACAUAAUUGGCUUAACCUAUGUUUUUUUCCUGAUUAGUGGUGGUUAGGAAGUGAAGUGUCAGAGGCAGGCUUUUAACCUGGGGGUGUAGAUUUGUUGAGGAAUGAUCUGGAAACUGGUGCUAGACGCAGGUCUUGUUGGGGUCCCCCAACCUGGGAAAUGGUGCUAGGUACUGGCCUGUUAAUUAACUUGAGUUCAAUCUUAGGUCAGGUUAUCUAAGAUGGAGUUUGAACCCAAAAGAUUUGGUCUCAGUAAGGUUGACUGAGCUGUGUGUGACAGGCUGGCUUAGGCUGUGGCACACAGUAGAAGGGUGUGUUAGCAUCACUUCAUUAGCACAUUUACUUUGUAAUGGCAGACCCCAUGCUUUAUUUGAAGAGCAUACACAAAUGGCCUUUGAAAAUCAUGAGACCUGCUCGGUUCUUAAAAUGAAUCAGAUGUGUGAGCUGCUGUGGUCUCGUGGUUAGAAGUGCAGACUGUGGGGAUGCUUCUGGGGUUAUCUGCUCGUCUGUUCCCCACUUACAUGACCUUAAGAGAGUCGCUUGGGCCUCAUCUUGGAGUUGACACCUGCUGCAACUUCACAGAAAGACCAACAAGUUAGUCUCAUUUUAAAAAGAAUCUUUUUAGAAAGUCGUAAAUCACUGACUUGUGUUUGGGACCGGCUGGGGUCUGCAAGAGAAUGGUACAUUUCUACAGCCCACUGUGAAGUGGCUGAAUGACACUCGGCUCUAACCUCUCUGUGUUUGUUUCCUUGUCGGGUCAGCAAAAGUAGCGUGCAGCAGUUGCCACAGCACAUGGCCUAACCUGUGUUAUCUUAUAGAAAGGAGGAGGCUCUGCAGCAUGGUGACUUUCUGGACUUUUAGCCCAGCUGAUUGUUGUUUUCUUGUGGGGAGGAAGUCUGAUCCACAGGCUAGACAAAUGUUUGUGGGCUCCCUCCCUGUUAGCAUUAGACUUUCUGUCUCUGUUCAAGAAGCAACACAGUAAAGGGAGUUGAAGGUGCAGGCCAGUGGCACACUUGUAACCCCAGUACUCAGGAGGCAGAGGCAGGCAGAUCUCUGAGUUCCAGACCAGCCUGGGCUACAUAGAGACUGACCCUGUCUCAAG